rnacentral:rRNA from 1 species
UGGGGAAUUUUGGACAAUGGGGGAAACCCUGAUCCAGCCAUCCCGCGUGUGCGAUGAAGGCCUUCGGGUUGUAAAGCACUUUUGGCAGGAAAGAAACGUCGUGGGUUAAUACCCCGCGAAACUGACGGUACCUGCAGAAUAAGCACCGGCUAACUACGUGCCAGCAGCCGCGGUAAUACGUAGGGUGCAAGCGUUAAUCGGAAUUACUGGGCGUAAAGCGUGCGCAGGCGGUUCGGAAAGAAAGAUGUGAAAUCCCAGAGCUUAACUUUGGAACUGCAUUUUUAACUACCGGGCUAGAGUGUGUCAGAGGGAGGUGGAAUUCCGCGUGUAGCAGUGAAAUGCGUAGAUAUGCGGAGGAACACCGAUGGCGAAGGCGGCCUCCUGGGGAUAACACUGACGCUCAUGCACGAAAGCGUGGGGAGCAAACAGGAUUAGAUACCCUGGUAGUCCACGCCCUAAACGAUGUCAACUAGCUGUUGGGGUCUUCGGACCUUGGUAGCGCAGCUAACGCGUGAAGUUGACCGCCUGGGGGAGUACGGUCGCAAGAUUAAAAACUU